rnacentral:lncRNA from 1 species
CAUGCAGCCACCUUGUCCUGCACAGGUCUGUGGCAGGCCGUGAGAUGGUGACCAGAGAAGCAGUCAGCACUCAUAGCCCCUGCCCUUUCAGAGUUUACGCUUGCUUGGAAGCCUCCAGAAUGGGGAUAAGCACAAGACAUUUAUGCUGGGCUUCAUCCAGGAAGCACUGGUGGAAGGAAGAGAAAGCAGCCCACAUAGCAAGGUUCAGGAGAAGAUUCCCAUGAAGGACAAGUGGGGUUCAACCCCAUCCAGCAGAUGACACGGAGCCGGCCUCGGAGGUGGGAGGUGUCCUCGCCGUGGGACACUGGGAUCUGAGCUACCUCAGGGCAUAGCCGGCCAAUGUUCCCAGCCUCCCCUGGGCACAGCCAGCCCAGGCCAAGUGGUCUAGCCUCGGCCCCCACUCAGCAUGGCCCAAAAAAGGAGCAAAAAGCAGAAAGCUCAAGGACCCUCAGAAUCAAGUUCUGCAGAAAGACACAAAGCUCAAGACCAGAGGUGCAACUGAGGGAGCACACCCUGUAAGACUGCCUCCCGGACACACCACUGCAGCCAGUGAAUCGCACUGUUUAGACUUUGACUUCAGGGUCAGGGUGAGCUGAUGAGACUGGCCUCUUGAUGAGGUGAGAAGCCACCGAGGAGUGAGAGCGGCUGAGUUUGAGCCCUGCCUCUGCCGUCUGUAACUCUCUCAUCUUGAGCAGGUCCACCCCAGUGUGGGCCUCAGAUCUCCCAUCCUUGAGAUGAGAGAAUUCAAAUCCAGCUCCGGCUCUGCAGCCCACGCCCUUCCCCUGCACUGCAUGGCAUCCAAUAGGCUUGAAGAAGGAGUGAAUGACAUUCGAAGGUCACAUCAUCUAAGCCACACUCCUCCCCCAUCCCAUCCUUUGUUGUCCUUUACAUGAUUCCCAUUCAUCUUUCUUCUCUUGGGCCCAGGGGUGUGCUGGUGAAUGUUUAACAGCCACUCCAUGAAAAAAUAAAACGGUCUUGAUUGAUGGCA